GACGAACGCUGGCGGCGUGCUUAACACAUGCAAGUCGAACGGAAAGGCCCUGCUUUUGUGGGGUGCUCGAGUGGCGAACGGGUGAGUAACACGUGAGUAACCUGCCCUUGACUUUGGGAUAACUUCAGGAAACUGGGGCUAAUACCGGAUAGGAGCUCCUGCUGCAUGGUGGGGGUUGGAAAGUUUCGGCGGUUGGGGAUGGACUCGCGGCUUAUCAGCUUGUUGGUGGGGGAGUGGCUUACCAAGGCUUUGACGGGUAGCCGGCCUGAGAGGGUGACCGGCCACAUUGGGACUGAGAUACGGCCCAGACUGCUACGGGAGGCAGCAGUGGGGAAUAUUGCACAAUGGGCGGAAGCCUGAUGCAGCAACGCCGCGUGCUGGAUGGCGGCCUUCGGGUUGUAAACCGCUUUCGCCUGUGACGAAGCGUGAGUGACGGUAAUGGGUAAAGAAGCACCGGCUAACUACGUG
rnacentral:rRNA from 1 species